rnacentral:tmRNA from 1 species
GGGGAUGCAGGGUUUCGACAGGAGCAGGAGGUCCAUCGCUGCAGGCCGAGCAUGCCGCCAACCUCGUAAAAGCGACGGCAAACAAGUAACUGGCGAACAAGAACUCGCCCUCGCGGCCUAAACAACCGUGACGUCCAUCCGAUCCGUCCCUAGCGGACCGGAAUGGGCGCCAUAAGCUAGGGUGCCCCGGUCGAGCGCUCGCGGCGGCCGGGAAAGAUACAGCGAGCUGGCCAUGGCGGACGCCGCCGAGACGCGUCCGUGGUGGCAAGAAAAAGCAGUCCGGCUACGCCUGUAGACGCGGUUGGGCGGCAGCUCUUGGACGGGGCGUUCGACUCGCCCCCAUCUCCACCA